rnacentral:lncRNA from 1 species
AGAUUUUGAUGGACAGGUCAUCAACACCCCCGCUCAAGCUUUUGAAUAGAACGUUCAUGAUCCAGAUAUAACUGCUUGUGCCCUCUGUUCUAGUUAUGAACAUGCAGACAUAGUGUCUUAGAUACGAAGGAUUGAUGGCAAUGAAUGAUAGAGUUAGGCUGCCCCAACCUAUUGCUGGAAACUCAUGGCCAAAGAGGACACAUCAACCUCCUGCAUACACAGCAC